GACGAACGCUGGCGGCGUGCUUAACACAUGCAGGUCGAACGAGAAGAGAUGAGAAGCUUGCUUCUUAUCGAUUCGAGUGGCAAACGGGUGAGUAACGCGUAAGCAACCUGCCCUUCAGAUGGGGACAACAGCUGGAAACGGCUGCUAAUACCGAAUACGUUCUUUUUGUCGCAUGGCAGAGGGAAGAAAGGGAGGCUCUUCGGAGCUUUCGCUGAAGGAGGGGCUUGCGUCUGAUUAGCUAGUUGGAGGGGUAACGGCCCACCAAGGCGACGAUCAGUAGCCGGUCUGAGAGGAUGAACGGCCACAUUGGGACUGAGACACGGCCCAGACUCCUACGGGAGGCAGCAGUGGGGAAUCUUCGCAAUGGACGAAGUCUGACGGAGCAACGCCGCGUGAACGAUGACGGCCUUCGGGUUGUAAAGUUC
rnacentral:rRNA from 1 species